rnacentral:rRNA from 1 species
CCUACGGGUGGCAGCAGUCGAGAAUCAUUCACAAUGGGGGAAACCCUGAUGGUGCGACGCCGCGUGGGGGAAUGAAGGUCUUCGGAUUGUAAACUCCUGUCAUGUGGGAGCAAAGUAAAAAGAUAGUACCACAAGAGGAAGAGACGGCUAACUCUGUGCCAGCAGCCGCGGUAAUACAGAGGUCUCAAGCGUUGUUCGGAAUCACUGGGCGUAAAGCGUGCGUAGGCUGUGUCGUAAGUCGUGUGUGAAAGGCGCGGGCUCAACCCGCGGAUGGCAAAUGAUACUGGGAGGCUAGAGUACUGGAGGGGGAGGCGGAAUUCGCGGUGUAGCAGUGAAAUGCGUAGAUAUCGAGAAGAACCCUGGUGGCGAAGGCAGGUUCCUGGACAUGAACUGACGCUGAUGCACGAAGGCGAGGGGAGCGAAAGGGAUUAGAUACCCGAGUAGUC